AUGCAUAAGCUCGUAAAUGUUCAUUAUUUGGACAAGGCGACAUUUAUGCUUGGAAAUGAUGAUGAAGGGGAAGAGGCUAUGGUUUUUGACACAAGUCCAAGCUUUGAUGAUCUUGUAGUUAAAGUGAGAAGCGUCUUACACUGGAAUGACCCAAAUGUCGAGGUUAAGCUUAUUGGGAGGUAUGACGUUGGAUUGGGAGUAAAGCCCCGAUUAAAGAGUAUGCCCAUCACCUCCCAAUUGCAUUGGAAUGUGUACAAGGACAAAGUAGACGCAUCACAAGACAAGUCUAUUGAGAUCUUUUCCACAAAGGUUGAUUCUCCUCCUCCCUUGCAAAUUGAUCCCAACCGCAAUGCAUCUUCCCCAAUACAUGAUGAUAGUGCCGAGGUGUAUGUCCCCAAUUGUUCUAGCCAACCACCAAGUAGCCAACCCAAUGAACAUCAUAUCAAUACUAGCGCCAUAGUACUCCAUCAUGAUGCUAUUCCUCAUGUUGAAGAAGAUGCUAUUCCUCGUGUUGAAGAAGAUGCUAGUGGUCAUGUUGAUGAUGAUGCUAUUGUUGCUCAAGAGGAUGCUUACUCGGAGAAUGAAGAGAUCCAUUACAAUCCAAUUGGUAACUUGGAUGUCAUUGUGCGGCAACAAGACAUGGACCGUACCCUACCUUAUAACCGUAUGUGUGGGUAUAACUCGGAUGAUGAGGGUCCGGAGGAAGAAUUGGAUGAGGAUGGGUUGACUGCGCAAGAAAAUGAAAUCUACAAGAAGGUGACCGGCAAGGAGAUAGGGCCGCCGUUGUUUAGGGAUGUGAGUCUUGCGGACAAUGCCGUUGUUGACGGUGGGCUGAGAUUCGGGUUGUCUGAGCCAACACCGUGCCCCAAAUUUAGUGAUCCUUGGCCAGAAAAUGAGGAUGAGAAUGCUCAUUUGAAGAAAGGCAUCAAGUUUGGUUCUUUGGUAGAGUUCAAGUGA
rnacentral:rRNA from 1 species